GAGUUUGAUCCUGGCUCAGGAUGAACGCUAGCGGCAGGCUUAAUACAUGCAAGUCGAACGGGAUUUCGGGUAGCAAUACCUGGAUGAGAGUGGCGCACGGGUGCGUAACACGUAUGCAACCUACCUGUAACAGGGGGAUACACUCGAGAAAUCGGGCACAAUACCGCAUAAGAUCGUGGAGUGGCAUCACUUUGCGAUAAAAUUCACGGAGGUUACAGAUGGGCAUGCGACUGAUUAGGUAGUUGGUAGGGUAACGGCCUACCAAGCCGACGAUCAGUAGGGGAUCUGAGAGGAUAGCCCCCCACACUGG
rnacentral:rRNA from 1 species